UACUUUUACAAAUUAUGUUUUGUGUGUUAAAAGAUUUGAACAGUGGUAACCAUGACAACAAUAAUUGUUAUAUAGAAUGGUAGUCUUUCUAUAUAUUAAACAUAGUGGAAAAUUCAAAAUUAAUAAUAAUAAUAGUAAUAAUAGUAAUAAUAAUAAUAAUAAUUCUUUCAACUUUUGGCACAAGGCCAGCAAUUUUAGGAGGAGGUGGGUAGUCGAUUAUAUUGACCCCAGUUUCCGACUGGUACUUUAUUUAAUUGACCACAAAAGAAUGAAAGGCAAAGUUGACCUUGGUGGAAUUUGAACUAACGUAAUGGCUUGGAAGAAAAGCUGCAAAACAUUUUUUUUUCCGAGGCUCUAAUAAUUCUGCCAGCUCACCACUUUAAUAAUAAUAAUAAUAAUAAUAAUAAUGAAAGAUUUACUGUUUGAUUACAUAGGUGGAUACUUACUUCGUUAAAGACAGAAGUAUAAAAAGAUGAAGAG
rnacentral:lncRNA from 1 species